rnacentral:lncRNA from 1 species
UUUUUUUUUUUGUAGCAAUGGAGCUCCAAAGAAGAAAGAAAGAAUAGUUCAUCCAAAAUAGAAAAGAAUGUCAAGAAACAGGGCAAAGAUACUAUAGUGUUGUUCCUCAGCUCGUCAUCUUCUGAUCCUCCUACAUGAUAACCCCCUCCUCGAAUUGAUCUCACAUCCGAGCGAAGGUCUACUCCAUCACCCCUUUGUAUGCAAGCUCCCACUUUACAUUCAUCUUCUUUCUUGGACUUCUUCUCUUUCUUAACACCGUUCCAAAAAAAUCAAGAACCCUAACCCUAAAAACUUCAGAAAUUCAUUGAAGAGGAAAGGGAAAGGUAUAGGUGCAGGGAGAUCUUACCAGAAAGAAGACCACCGGCGAUGGAGAGGGACGCCGGAGAAGGUCGUUGCCGCCCCCGAGCUCGCACCGUAUCGUUGCAGUGUCCAAUUCGCCUCCUGGUCGCUACUACAUGAAGAGGGAAAGGGGGAGUACUCCACGUACGAGAGAGGGGCGUGGCCCUCACCACCCGGUCGUCCCUCCAGCACCGUCGCCAUUGCUGCCGCCGCCUCCGCAAUCGUCGUCGGAGAGGAUGGUCUGGGUCUCUGGGAUGAGAGGAACGGUGUUGAGCAAGCCCACCCGCAGGUUGCUGAA